rnacentral:tRNA from 1 species
GGCCGACUAGCUCAGCUGGUUAGAGCGUCGUGCUAAUAUUUACUACAUCGACAUAUUACGCGAAGGUCUUGGUUUCGAUCCCCACGUUGGCCA